UGGCUCAGAACGAACGCUGGCGGCAGGCUUAACACAUGCAAGUCGAGCGCCCCGCAAGGGGAGCGGCAGACGGGUGAGUAACGCGUGGGAAUCUACCCUUGACUACGGAAUAACGCAGGGAAACUUGUGCUAAUACCGUAUGUGUCCUUCGGGAGAAAGAUUUAUCGGUCAAGGAUGAGCCCGCGUUGGAUUAGCUAGUUGGUGGGGUAAAGGCCUACCAAGGCGACGAUCCAUAGCUGGUCUGAGAGGAUGAUCAGCCACAUUGGGACUGAGACACGGCCCAAACUCCUACGGGAGGCAGCAGUGGGGAAUAUUGGACAAUGGGCGCAAGCCUGAUCCAGCCAUGCCGCGUGAGUGAUGAAGGCCCUAGGGUUGUAAAGCUCUUUCACCGGAGAAGAUAAUG
rnacentral:rRNA from 1 species